ensembl:misc_RNA 7SK 7SK RNA
GGAUGUGAGGGCGAUCUGGCUGCAACAUCUGUCACCCCAUUGAUCGCCAGGGUUGAUUCGGCUGAUCUGGCUGGCUAGGCGGGUGUCCCCUUCCUCCCUCACCGCUCCAUGUGCGUCCCUCCCAAAGCUGCGCACUGGGUCGAAGAGGACGACCUUCCCCAAUAGAGGAGGACCGGUCUUCGGUCAAGGGUAUAGGAGUAGCUGCGCUCCCCUGCUAGAACCUCCAAACAAGCUCUCAAGGUCCACAUAUAUAUUCAUACAUACAUGUAUGACCACAUGUGACUUGGGGGUUCUCUCUCU